rnacentral:rRNA from 1 species
ACUCAAAUGAAUUGACGGGGACCCGCACAAGCGGUGGAUGAUGUGGAUUAAUUCGAUGCAACGCGAAGAACCUUACCUGCUCUUGACAUGUCAGGAAGACCUAAGAGAUUAGGUUGUGCCUUCGGGAACCUGAACACAGGUGCUGCAUGGCUGUCGUCAGCUCGUGUCGUGAGAUGUUGUCUUAAGUGACGCAACGAGCGCAACCCUUGCUACUAGUUGCCCCAAUUAAGUUUGGCACUCUAGUGGGACUGCCGGUGCUAAGCCGGAGGAAGGUGGGGAUGACGUCAAGUCCUCAUGGCCCUUAUGAGCAGGGCUUCACACGUCAUACAAUGGUAGGUACAGACGGUCGCGAAACUGUGAAGUGGAGCUAAUCCGAGAAAGCCUAUCGUAGUCCGGAUUGUAGUCUGCAACUCGACUACAUGAAGUCGGAAUCGCUAGUAAUCGCAGAUCAGAAUGCUGCGGUGAAUACGUUCCCGGGUCUUGUACACACCGCCCGU